rnacentral:rRNA from 1 species
GGAUUAGAUACCCUGGUAGUCUACGCAGUAAACGAUGGUUACUAGCUGUUUGGUAUAAUUGAGUACUGAGUGGUUAAGCGAAAGUGAUAAGUAACCCACCUGGGGAGUACGUUCGCAAGAAUGAAACUCAAAGGAAUUGACGGGGGCCCGCACAAGCGGUGGAGCAUGUGGUUUAAUUCGAUGAUACGCGAGGAACCUUACCAGGGCUUAAAUGCAGUCUGACAGGGGUGGAAACACCUUUUUCUUCGGACAGAUUGCAAGGUGCUGCAUGGUUGUCGUCAGCUCGUGCCG